rnacentral:rRNA from 1 species
GAUGAACGCUGGCGGCGUGCCUAAUACAUGCAAGUCGAGCGAACAGACGAGGAGCUUGCUCCUCUGACGUUAGCGGCGGACGGGUGAGUAACACGUGGAUAACCUACCUAUAAGACUGGGAUAACUUCGGGAAACCGGAGCUAAUACCGGAUAAUAUAUUGAACCGCAUGGUUCAAUAGUGAAAGACGGUUUUGCUGUCACUUAUAGAUGGAUCCGCGCCGCAUUAGCUAGUUGGUAAGGUAACGGCUUACCAAGGCAACGAUGCGUAGCCGACCUGAGAGGGUGAUCGGCGACACUGGAACGGGGACACGGUCCAGACUCCUACGGGAGGCAGCAGUAGGGAAUCUUCCGCAAUGGGCGAGAGCCUGACGGAGCAACGCCGCGUGAGUGAUGAAGGUCUUCGGAUCGUAAAACUCUGUUAUUAGGGAAGAACAAAUGUGUAAGUAACUAUGCACGUCUUGACGGUACCUAAUCAGAAAGCCACGGCUAACUACGUG